ACAUGCCUACAAAUUAGUGUUAAUGCAUUGGAUCCCAUUAGAACUCCACAAUUAAGCGUGCUCGAGCUAGAGUAGUAUUGGGAUGGGUGACCACUCGAGAAGUCCUAGUAUUUUACAUGCC
rnacentral:rRNA from 1 species